AGUGAACGCUGGCGGUAGGCCUAACACAUGCAAGUCGAACGGCAGCACAGGAGAGCUUGCUCUCUGGGUGGCGAGUGGCGGACGGGUGAGGAAUACAUCGGAAUCUACUUUUUCGUGGGGGCUAACGUAGGGAAACUUACGCUAAUACCGCAUACGACCUACGGGUGAAAGCAGGGGAUCUUCGGACCUUGCGCGAUUGAAUGAGCCGAUGUCGGAUUAGCUAGUUGGCGGGGUAAAGGCCCACCAAGGCGACGAUCCGUAGCUGGUCUGAGAGGAUGAUCAGCCACACUGGAACUGAGACACGGUCCAGACUCCUACGGGAGGCAGCAGUGGGGAAUAUUGGACAAUGGGCGCAAGCCUGAUCCAGCCAUACCGCGUGGGUGAAGAAGGCCUUCGGGUUGUAAAGCCCUUUUGUUGGGAAAGAAAUCCAGCUGGUUAAUACCCGGUUGGGAUGACGGUACCCAAAGAAUAAGCACCGGCUAGCUUCGUGCCAGCCGCCGCAGUAA
rnacentral:rRNA from 1 species